rnacentral:snoRNA from 2 species
GGAUUGAUGAUCACUCCCUCAAUCUGCAUUCCUUGGAAAAGCUGAACAAAAUGAGUGAGAACUCCUUACCGUCUUUCUCAUCACAACUGAGGUCC